CGAAUUGGCGGCUGCUGCGUGGCUGCUUUCUGUCGUGUUUGAGAUCAAGGAGGAAUUCAGGAGAAUCGAUCAUGGGGCAGAGAUUCAUGUUCAGACUUGACCAAUGCACAUCAAGACUUAUUGCCCUGAUGAAGGCCAUGGGAGGUGUUGUGGGGACCAACUGAGGCCAUUUCUGGACAAACUGAGUCAGACACAAAGCCUUAAGAUGGGAAUCAGUUAUCCGCAGCCUCAUUCUCUACUUUGACGAUAAAGAAGAUGAUAAACUGUGUUUUGAAGAUGAACAGAGUUCUGACGGGCUCGGGACGACAUGAGGGUGAGUCAUUAAUGA